rnacentral:rRNA from 1 species
AACGCGAAGAACCUUACCAGCCUUUGACAUCCCGGUCGCGGGCACCAGAGAUGGAGCCCUUCAGUUCGGCUGGACCGGAGACAGGUGCUGCAUGGCUGUCGUCAGCUCGUGUCGUGAGAUGUUGGGUUAAGUCCCGCAACGAGCGCAACCCUCGCCCUUAGUUGCCAUCAUUUAGUUGGGCACUCUAAGGGGACUGCCGGUGAUAAGCCGGAGGAAGGUGGGGAUGACGUCAAGUCCUCAUGGCCCUUACAGGCUGGGCUACACACGUGCUACAAUGGCGGUGACAGAGGGAUGCAAGGGAGCAAUCCUCAGCAAAUCUCCAAAAGCCGUCUCAGUUCGGAUUGUGCUCUGCAACUCGAGCACAUGAAGUUGGAAUCGCUAGUAAUCGCAGAUCAGCACGCUGCGGUGAAUACGUUCCCGGGCCUUGUACACACCGCUACAGU